GAUGAACGCUGGCGGCGUGCCUAAUACAUGCAAGUCGAACGAAACUUCUUUAUCACCGAGUGCUUGCACUCACCGAUAGAGAGUUGAGUGGCGAACGGGUGAGUAACACGUCGGCAACCUGCCCAAAAGAGGGGGAUAACACUUGGAAACAGGUGCUAAUCCCGCAUAACCAUAGUUACCGCAUGGUAACUAUGUAAAAGGUUGCUAUACUACCGCUUUUGGAUGGGCCCGCGGCGCAUUAGCUAGUUGGUAGGGUAAAGGCUUACCAAGGCAAUGAUGCGUAGACGAAUUGAGAGGUUGGUAGGCCACAUUGGGACUGAGACACGGCCCAAAGUCCUACGGGACGCAGCAGUAUGGAAUCUUCCACAGUGGGCGAAAGCCUGAUGGAGCAACGCCGAGUGGGUGAAGAAGGUCUUCGGAUCGUAAAACCCUGUUGUUAGAGAAGAAAGUGCGUGAGAGUAACUGUUCACGUUUCGACGGUAUCUAACCGGAAAGCCACGGCUAACUACGUG
rnacentral:rRNA from 1 species